CCAGACUCCUACGGGAGGCAGCAGUGGGGGAUAUUGCACAAUGGAGGAAACUCUGAUGCAGCGACGCCGCGUGAGUGAAGAAGUAUUUCGGUAUGUAAAGCUCUAUCAGCAGGGAAGAAAAUGACGGUACCUGACUAAGAAGCCCCGGCUAACUACGUGC
rnacentral:rRNA from 1 species